rnacentral:misc_RNA from 1 species
GAUGAAGAACGCAGCGAAAGGCGAUACUUGGUGUGAAUUGCAGAAUCCCGUGAACCAUCGAGUCUUUGAACGCAAGUUGCGCCCGAAGCCUCGGCUAAGGGCACGUCUGCCUGGGCGUCACGCAUCGCGUCUCCCCCAAACCGCCAAGGCGGAGGGGAAGGAAGAUGGCUUCCCGUGCCUCACCCGGCGCGGUUGGCCUAAAUUUGGAGCCCGCGGCACUUAGCUCUCGCGGCGAUAGGUGGUGAACAAGGCCUUGGCCGUGCAAACAACCCGCUGCGAAGCUCUAUGUCACGUGCGCUCGUCGGACCCUUUGAAGUUGCCUUCGGUGACUUAAAACCUUUGCGACCCCAGGUCAGGCGGGGCUACCCGCUGAAUUUAAGCAUAUCAAUAAGCGGAGGA